AAAAAGACAAAUCCUGGUUUCCGUGUCCAACGUUUGACCGUCCGUCUUAUUUGAAAAAAUUAUGAAAAAAAAUAAAAAGACAAGUCACGCAUAAAAUAUUAAUCAUGUUUUAUCAUCUAACAACAAUGAAAAUACGAAUUAUAAAAAAAUUUCAUAUAAGACGGACAGUCAAAGUUGGACACGGAAACCCAUGAUUUGUCUUUUU
rnacentral:pre_miRNA from 1 species